rnacentral:rRNA from 1 species
GGGGGGGGAGUCGGAUUUACUGGGCGUAAGCGCGUGUAGGCGGCCGGAUAAGUCGGGUGUGAAAGCCCGGGGCUCAACCCCGGAGUGCCGCCCGAAACUGCCCGGCUUGAGGACGGAAGAGGGGAGUGGAAUUCCUGGUGUAGCGGUGAAAUGCGUAGAGAUCAGGAGGAACACCCGUGGCGAAGGCGGCUCCCUGGUCCGUCCCUGACGCUGAGACGCGAAAGCGCGGGGAGCGAACGGGAUUAGAUACCCCGGUAGUCCGCGCCGUAAACGAUGGUCACUAGGUGUGCGCGGUAUCGACCCCGCGCGUGCCGCCGCUAACGCAGUAAGUGACCCGCCUGGGGAGUACGGCCGCAAGGUUGAAACUCAAAGGAAUUGACGGGGGCCCGCACAAGCGGUGGAGCAUGGGGAUUAAUUCGUCACUAACCGAAGAACCUUACCCAGGCUUGACAUCCGCUGCAAGUCCGGGAAACCGGCACCCCUGAUCCGCAAGGAUCAGCAGCGAGACAGGUGUUGCAUGGCUGUCGUCAGCUCGUGUCGUGAGAUGUUGGGUUAAGUCCCGCAACGAGCGCAACCCUCACCCCAUGUUGCCAGCGUCAAGUCGGGCACUCUUGGGGAACUGCCCGGGUAACCGGGAGGAAGGUGGGGAUGACGUCAAGUCGGCAUGGCCCUUACGCCUGGGGCUUCACCCAUGCUACAAUGGGCGCGACAGAGGGACGCAAGACCGCGAGGUGGAGCCAAUCCCACAAAGGCGCUCUCAGUUCGGAUUGCAGGCUGCAACUCGCCUGCAUGAAGUCGGAAUCGCUAGUAACCGCCGGUCAGCCAAACGGCGGUGAAUACGUUCCCGGGCCUUGUACACACCGCCCGUCACGUCACCUGAGUCUGCUGCACCCGAAGUCACUGGCCCAACCGCAAGGAGGGAGGUGCCGAAAGUGUGGCCGGUAAGGGGGACGAAGUCGUAACAAGGUAAC